CGUGCAGUUGUUAGUUUUCAGUUGAUAUCCAAAGGGUCAGAAAGAAAGUUUCGGACACACGCGAAAGUCUUGACGAAAACUUUUCCCUGUCAUAAUUCCACUAAUGAAGGCUAUAUCCAGGCGUCAAAGAAUUAUAACCAAUGUUGUUUGUUUCUUUGUUUGUUUUGUUUUGUUUUGUUUUUGUUUUUAUUUACAACUUUAUACAAAAUUUCGGAAAUAAUCAAAAUUCAGAAAAUGUU